AUUGAACGCUGGCGGCAGGCUUAACACAUGCAAGUCGAGCGGGGGAAGGUAGCUUGCUACCGGACCUAGAGGCGGACGGGUGAGUAAUGCUUAGGAAUCUGCCUAUUAGUGGGGGACAACAUCUAGAAAGGGAUGCUAAUACCGCAUACGUCCUACGGGAGAAAGCAGGGGAUCUUCGGACAUUGCGCUAAUAGAUGAGCCUAAGUCGGAUUAGCUAGUUGGUGGGGUAAAGGCCUACCAAGGCGACGAUCUGUAGCGGGUCUGAGAGGAUGAUCCGCCACACUGGGACUGAGACACGGCCCAGACUCCUACGGGAGGCAGCAGUGGGGAAUAUUGGACAAUGGGGGGAACCCUGAUCCAGCCAUGCCGCGUGUGUGAAGAAGGCCUUAUGGUUGUAAAGCACUUUAAGCGAGGAGGAGGCUACUCUAGUUAAUACCUAGGGAUAGUGGACGUUACUCGCGGAAUAAGCACCGGCUAACUCUGUGCCAGCCGCCGCCGUAA
rnacentral:rRNA from 1 species